rnacentral:rRNA from 1 species
GAUGAACGCUGGCGGCGUGCCUAAUACAUGCAAGUCGAGCGAACAGACGAGGAGCUUGCUCCUCUGACGUUAGCGGCGGACGGGUGAGUAACACGUGGAUAACCUACCUAUAAGACUGGGAUAACUUCGGGAAACCGGAGCUAAUACCGGAUAAUAUAUUGAACCGCAUGGUUCAAUAGUGAAAGACGGUUUUGCUGUCACUUAUAGAUGGAUCCGCGCCGCAUUAGCUAGUUGGUAAGGUAACGGCUUACCAAGGCAACGAUGCGUAGCCGACCUGAGAGGGUGAUCGGCCACACUGGAACUGAGACACGGUCCAGACUCCUACGGGAGGCAGCAGUAGGGAAUCUUCCGCAAUGGGCGAGAGCUUGACGGAGCAACGCCGCGUGAGUGAUGAAGGUCUUCGGAUCGUAAAACUCUGUUAUUAGGGAAGAACAAAUGUGUAAGUAACUAUGCACGUAUUGACGGUACCUAAUCAGAAAGCCACGGCUAACUACGUG